GUUCAUGGUCGCUGACAUGCAUUGGACGCACCCAGUGAUGGGGAGUGCUGGUGGACAGGAUCUGCGCGUCCUAUCAGAAAGUGAGUCAGACCUUCGGCAGUGAGCCAGUCAAAGAAAUGAGUGAAGCGAUAGUGCCCGUCAUCCUGUCUAUCCUCCGCCAGCCCAGCGUAAAAGAGACGGAGAGCGGAAAAGAACAACGACGAACCAUUGAAUCAACAGAGGACUGUUGGCUCUCCAAUAAGAAGUUUUGCUGUAUCAGAGAUGUAGAAAUAGAUACAUUGCUUCAGAAAAUUAGAAAUAGAUAAAUUCGAAAUAGAAGUUACAUUGACAUUGACUGACGAGGUCCUUCCAUUUAAUAAAUACUA